GCAGUAUAAACGGAGCUUAACAAUACUUUCAAUGUAAGAAGUUUUUUUGCCGAACUGAACGAACAAAUGAAGUGCCGCCGAAUUUCAACGAGCAACAACCAAUAGAAUACAAAUCAUUUACAAAAAGAAGCCCACACGAAAAAGUGGUUUAUAGUUAAAGUGAACAUUAAAAAAAGUGAAGUGAAGAUAUUAAAAAAAUAUUAGUGCAUCAGCUAACAAUUAUAUUAGUUAAUCAGAUUGUAUUUAUUAGAAACUGGCGACUGUUGAUGGUUUAUAUAUCCAUACAAACAUUACUGGGAAAACAUUGAAGAAGAAAAUUAUCUUAAAAUAUUGUCAAGAUGCAGCUUUACUCUGGGCCCUACAUGGGUAUUUUGUGCCUUUCCAAAAAGUU